GGUCGAUUGGUCUAGUGGUAUGAUUCUCGCUUAGGGAGAUUGGAGCGCGAGUUCCCUUUCUCACAAACCUGAGUCCAAAAUGCGAGAGGUCCCGAGUUCGAUCCUUGGAUCGACCC